UGGGGAAUAUUGCACAAUGGGCGCAAGCCUGAUGCAGCCAUGCCGCGUGUAUGAAGAAGGCCUUCGGGUUGUAAAGUACUUUCAGCGAGGAGGAAGGCGGUAAGGUUAAUAACCUUAUCGAUUGACGUUACUCGCAGAAGAAGCACCGGCUAACUCCGUGCCAGCAGCCGCGGUAAUACGGAGGGUGCAAGCGUUAAUCGGAAUUACUGGGCGUAAAGCGCACGCAGGCGGUCUGUCAAGUCGGAUGUGAAAUCCCCGGGCUCAACCUGGGAACUACAUUCGAAACUGGCAGGCUAGAGUCUUGUAGAGGGGGGUAGAAUUCCAGGUGUAGCGGUGAAAUGCGUAGAGAUCUGGAGGAAUACCGGUGGCGAAGGCGGCCCCCUGGACAAAGACUGACGCUCAGGUGCGAAAGCGUGGGGAGCAAACA
rnacentral:rRNA from 1 species